AAAAGACUGACUUUCAUUCAUUAUCAUUAGUCCAGCGUGAAACUAAGAAAGAGAGAUGUGCCUAAGGCGGCAUGUAAGCAAACUGUGCACGCUAAGAGAAGAGGAGAGAUGUUCGCAAUUACUACCACAAGAAAGCCGCCCCCUAUCUUCUAAAGGGGCCCGUCACUUCGUUCGUACCUUCUUGGCUUAGGCUUCCAACUGAACAACAUGGCCUUGCCGCCCCGCUAAUUACUACCACAAGAAAGCGCCCCCCUAUCUUCUAAAGGGGCCCGUCACUUCGUUUGUACCUUCUUGGCUUAGGCUUCCAACUGAACAACAUGGCCUUGCAGCCCCGCCACUAGCAGAAGCUAAGCGCUUGAAAAGCGCGCUAAGAAAGGUUGCUUCUGUCGCCCUUUCUGUGCAACAGUCCACCAGUAGCGGAAGAGAGGGUUACCGUACAUACAAGAGUCUUCCAGUUCUUACGGAAGCUCUUUCUUACCAGUCAAUCAAGUAGUACAAGAACUGUAUCUUAUCUUAUAGCCCGGCGCGGCGGGUCGCCUUUUAAAUUAAGUAGAUAGAAGAAAGUAUUAAAUAGAUAAGGAGUAGGUGAGUGAGUGAGUCCUCACUGACCUGAGCGAUUUCGAUCACCUAGCAGGCCUUUUAUUUGGUAGGUAACAUCGCCAAAGCGUAUCAUCAGAUUUGACUACGAAGGAAGGAACUCAAAGCUCUUUCUUACCAGUCAAUCAAGUAUUACAAGAACUGUAACUUAUCUUAUAGCCCGGUGCGGCGGGUCGCCAUUUAAAUUAAGUAGAUAGAAGAAAGUAUUAAAUAGAUAAGGAGUAGGUGAGUGAGUGAGUCCUCACUGACCUGAGCGAUUUCGAUCACCUAGCAGGCCUUUUAUUUGGUAGGUAACAUCGCCAAAGCGUAUCAUCAGAUUUGACU
rnacentral:lncRNA from 1 species